rnacentral:rRNA from 1 species
GAACAACCUGUCCCUACAUUCCGGAUAAUUGGGAGAAAUCCCUUGUAAUACGGGCGAGGAUCCUUGGAAGGCAUCUUUCGAGGAGGGAACACGCAAGUGGUGCGGGGAGGGGUUCGCGUCCUAUCAGGUAGUUGGUGAGGUAAUGGCCCACCAAGCCUACGACGGGUAGCUGGUCUGAGAGGAUGGUCAGCCACAUUGGAACUGAGACACUGUCCAGACUCCUACGGGAGGCUGCAGUCGAGAAUCUUGCACAAUGCACGAAAGUGUGAUGCAGCGACGCCGCGUGGAGGAUGAAGGCCCUUGGGUUGUAAACUCCUUUUACUGGGGACGAAUCAAUGACGGUACCCAGUGAAUAAGCCACGGCUAACUACGUGCCAGCAGCCGCGGUAAUACGUAGGUGGCAAGCGUUGUCCGGAUUUACUGGGUGUAAAGGGUGCGCAGGCGGACCUUUAAGUAGAAAGUGAAAGGUUGGAGCUCAACUCCGACACUGCUUCCUAUACUGGGGGUCUUGAGUUUCGGAGGGGGAAGCGGAACGACACGU